rnacentral:rRNA from 1 species
AUUGAACGCUGGCGGCAUGCCUUACACAUGCAAGUCGAACGGCAGCACGGGAGCAAUCCUGGUGGCGAGUGGCGAACGGGUGAGUAAUAUAUCGGAACGUGCCCAGUCGUGGGGAUAACGUAGCGAAAGCUACGCUAAUACCGCAUACGAUCUAUGGAUGAAAGCGGGGGAUCGCAAGACCUCGCGCGAUUGGAGCGGCCGAUAUCAGAUUAGGUAGUUGGUGAGGUAAAGGCUCACCAAGCCGACGAUCUGUAGCUGGUCUGAGAGGACGACCAGCCACACUGGGACUGAGACACGGCCCAGACUCCUACGGGAGGCAGCAGUGGGAAUUUUGGACAAUGGGCGCAAGCCUGAUCCAGCAAUGCCGCGUGCAGGAUGAAGGCCUUCGGGUUGGUAAACUGGACUUUUGUACGGUAACGAAACGGUAGA